UACGAACUGUGCAAACGUUAUUCGGAUUCACUGGGCUUACAGGGUGCGUAGGCGGCUUGCUAAGUAGGGUGUGAAAGCCCCCGGCUUAACCGGGGAAUGGCGCCCUAAACUGGCGAGCUGGAGUGAGAUAGGGGUGUGCGGAACUUCCGGUGGAGCGGUGAAAUGUGUUGAUAUCGGAAGGAACGCCGGUGGCGAAAGCGGCACACUGGAUCUCAACUGACGCUGAGGCACGAAAGCCAGGGGAGCGAACGGG
rnacentral:rRNA from 1 species